rnacentral:rRNA from 1 species
GACGAACGCUGGCGGCGUGCUUAACACAUGCAAGUCGAACGGAAAGGCCCUGCUUUUGUGGGGUGCUCGAGUGGCGAACGGGUGAGUAACACGUGAGUAACCUGCCCUUGACUUUGGGAUAACUUCAGGAAACUGGGGCUAAUACCGGAUAGGAUCUCCUGCUGCAUGGUGGGGGUUGGAAAGUUUCGGCGGUUGGGGAUGGACUCGCGGCUUAUCAGCUUGUUGGUGGGGUAGUGGCUUACCCAGGCUUUGACGGGUAGCCGGCCUGAGAGGGUGACCGGCCACAUUGGGACUGAGAUACGGCCCAGACUCCUACGGGAGGCAGCAGUGGGGAAUAUUGCACAAUGGGCGGAAGCCUGAUGCAGCAACGCCGCGCGCGGGAUGACGGCCUUCGGGUUGUAAACCGCUUUCGCCUGUGACGAAGCGUGAGUGACGGUAAUGGGUAAAGAAGCACCGGCUAACUACGUG